GCCCUAGUGGCCCAGUGGUUAAGCGUUUGGCUACUAACCAAAAAGUUGGCAGUUCAAAUCUACCAGUGCA
rfam:Loxodonta africana unplaced genomic scaffold scaffold_5, whole genome shotgun sequence.